AACGAACGCUGGCGGCAGGCCUAACACAUGCAAGUCGAGCGCGCCCUUCGGGGUGAGCGGCGGACGGGUGAGUAACGCGUGGGAACGUGCCCUUCUCUGCGGAAUAGCCUCGGGAAACUGAGAGUAAUACCGCUUACGCCCUUUGGGGGAAAGAUUUAUCGGAGAAGGAUCGGCCCGCGUUGGAUUAGGUAGUUGGUGGGGUAAUGGCCCACCAAGCCGACGAUCCAUAGCUGGUUUGAGAGGAUGAUCAGCCACACUGGGACUGAGACACGGCCCAGCCUCCUACGGGAGGCAGCAGUGGGGAAUCUUAGACAAUGGGGGCAACCCUGAUCUAGCCAUGCCGCGUGAGUGAUGAAGGCCUUAGGGUUGUAAAGCUCUUUCAGCUGGGAAGAUAAUGACGGUACCAGCAGAAGAAGCCCCGGCUAACUCCGUG
rnacentral:rRNA from 1 species